rnacentral:rRNA from 1 species
UACGGGGGGAGCAAGCGUUGUUCGGAUUUACUGGGCGUAAAGGGCGCGUAGGCGGCGCAACAAGUCACUUGUGAAAUCUCCGGGCUUAACCCGGAGCGGUCAAGUGAUACUGUCGUGCUAGAGUGCGGAAGGGGCUACUGGAAUUCUCGGUGUAGCGGUGAAAUGCGUAGAUAUCGAGAGGAACACCUGCGGCGAAGGCGGCGUUCUGGACUGCAACUGACACUGAGGAACGAAAGCCAGGGGAGCAAACGGG